UACGAAGGGGGCUAGCGUUGUUCGGAAUUACUGGGCGUAAAGCGCACGUAGGCGGAUACUUAAGUCAGGGGUGAAAUCCCGGGGCUCAACCCCGGAACUGCCUUUGAUACUGGGUAUCUCGAGUCCGGAAGAGGUGAGUGGAAUUCCGAGUGUAGAGGUGAAAUUCGUAGAUAUUCGGAGGAACACCAGUGGCGAAGGCGGCUCACUGGUCCGGUACUGACGCUGAGGUGCGAAAGCAUGGGGAGCAAACAGG
rnacentral:rRNA from 1 species